UUUAUGGAGGAGGAGGAAGAGGAGAAACAGGACGAGGUCAAGAAGGACAAGGCAAACUUGGAGGAGGAUGAAGGGAGCGAAGAAGACGAAACAAAGGAAGACAAUAAGGAGGAACUAUGAGCCGAUGAAAUUUCGACCAUAGUAUAUCAAGACCCAAGACUUUCAGCCAUCAUGGGCCCAUUCAAGGAUCUGCAAUGGAUGUAUGAGGACCAGCUCCAAGACCGGUGGGUAACCCGUACGCCUAUUUACAGGACUGCCUCCUUCAAUUUCAUAAGGUGGCAAAGAAGAUGCUUGCCAAGGGUUUCAUUGAAGAGGACCUACGAAUUCACCUGCAGGAACUGGAUAAAAUACAGCAUGUUUACAACAAUCCGCUCAUCUGUCUGGAAAUGAGUCUGUUGUGGAGGGAGUUCAAGGCCCAUUUGAGGAUCUGCAAUGGAUGUAUGAGGACCGGCUCCAAGACGGGUACCCGUACACCUAUUUACAAGACUGCCUCAGUCAAUUUAAUAAGGUGGCAAAGAAGAUGCUCGCCAUGGGUAUCAUCGAAGAGGAACGACGACUUCGCCAGAAGGAACUGGAUAAAAUGCAUCGUGUUUACAACAACCCACUCAUCUGUCUGGAAAUAUUUCUGUUGUGGAGGGAGUUGAAAACCGUCAGUUUUCAAACUGCCC